rnacentral:lncRNA from 1 species
UAGUAUGAUAGGUGUUGUUUUACAGGGUCAGCCCAUAGUAGUAUGAUAGGUGUUGUUUUACAGGGUCAGUAGUAUGAUAGGUGUUGUUUUACAGGGUCAGUCAUAGUAGUAUGAUAGGUGUUGUUUUACAGGGUCAGUAGUAUGAUAGGUGUUGUUUUACAGGGUCAGCCAUAGUAGUAUGAUAGGUGUUGUUUUACAGGGUCAGUCAUAGUAGUAUGAUAGGUGUUGUUUUACAGGGCCAGCCCAUAGUAGUGUGAUAGGUGUUGUUUUACAGGGUGAUUCAUAGUAGGAUGAUAGGUGUUGUUUUACAGGGUCAGUAGUAUAAUAGGUGUUGUUUUACACGGUCAGCCAUAGUAGUAUGAUAGGUGUUGUUUUACAGGGUCAGUAGUAUAAUAGGUGUUGUUUUACAGGGUCAGCCCAUAGUAGCAUGAUAGGUGUUGUUUUACAGGGUCAGUCAUAGUAGCAUGAUAGGUGUUGUUUUACAGGGUCAGUCAUAGUAGUAUGAUAGGUGUUGUUGUACAGGGUCAGCCAUAGUAGUAUGAUAUGUGUUGUUUUACAGGGUCAGUAGUAUGAUAGGUGUUGUUUUACAGGGUCAGUAGUAUGAUAGGUGUUGUUUUACAGGGUCAGUCAUAGUAGUAUGAUAGGUGUUGUUUUACAGGGUCAGUCAUAUUAGUGUGAUAGGUGUUGUUUUACAGGGUCAGUCAUAGUAGUAUGAUAGGUGUUGUUUUACAGGGUCAGUCAUAGUAGUAUGAUAGGUGUUGUUUUACAGGGUCAGUAGUAUGAUAGGUGUUGUUUUACAGGGUCAGUAGUAUGAUAGGUGUUGUUUUACAUUGUCAGCCCAUAGUAGUAUGAUAGGUGUUGUUUUACAGGGUCAGACAUAGUCGUGUGAUAGGUGUUGUUUUACAGGGUCAGUCAUAGUAGUAUGAUAGGUGUUGUUUUACAGGGUCAGUCAUAGUAGUAUGAUAGGUGUUGUUUUACAGGGUGAUUCAUAGUAGGAUGAUAGGUGUUGUUUUACAGGGUCAGUAGUAUAAUAGGUGUUGUUUUACACGGACAGCCAUAGUAGUAUGAUAGGUGUUGUUUUACAGGGUCAGUA